ACACGGGAAGCGCUCCGCGGCGCCCGCCCUCGUCUGGCGCAGAGACCUGGCUGGAAAGACACAGCGUGGCUUCGAUUCCGGCGCCUGCGUGUCACCAGCCCAGGGUGGCCGUGGAAGCUGGACCCGAGCCGCAGGCCCCCCAGGCUGGGCCUGGGAGGAAAGCGGUUUGAAAAAGAUCGGAACUGAGGAACUCUCUUAGAGCGGGGGACUCCCUGCUCCUACAGCCUUAACCAAUGCCCAGCGCUUGGAAAGUGGAGGACUCGGGGAUUCGGGAGCGUUUCAGGCCUGGGGAAAUGGAAGGGUCGGGGACCUAGGUGAAAGGUUAUUUGCCAGAAAUGUCUUGGCUUUUUCAUUUAUUCUGUCUUACCUAGCCCUUCGCCGCCACCUCCAGUCGUUGGCCUCUUACCACCUUCAAAUGCCACCUUUUCCGGAAGAUGUAGCCCUGCGCCCUUGAAACUGGCAAACCCUAUUAGUGUCUGCAAGCUGAGAUGCAGGGUGUGGGCAUAGACACAGAUCAAGAGAUCCGGCCCUGGACCCUCUUGGGCAGAACCUUGCCCUUCUCAUUUCACCUGAAGCCCAAACUUUGUAUGGCAAAGACUUGAACACAAAAGCAUGUCAGACAAAACAUGCCUGUGGGCCAGAUUAAGUCCAUAGCCCCCGGUAUAUCUUCUCUGAUGUGACCUAACCCAUAGAGGCUGGCACCGCUGUUCUGACAGGUGAGAUUCUCAGGGACUCCCAAGGCCUCUUUCCUCUCUUCUGGCUCUGGAAUUAGUUCUGAGGCUUGGUCUUUGCACUCCUUCCAGGAGAAGAAUGUACUUCCAUCUCUUUCCUGCUUCACCAGGUCUUCAGACCCUCCUCUAGUAAUCUCUUUCCUUCCUUUUUUCUAGUAUUCUCAGACUCAAGACUAGAUGGAAGUUCUGUCUUCUCUAUCCUUAUGGCUCCCUGCAGCACUAGCCAUUCGUCAAAGCUGGUUCUACCUUAAGGAUAAACUUGUCCUUUUCUUUGCAAAACUCUAAAUUCAUAGCUUUGCUACAGAUUAAUCCACAAGAACCUGCCUCUACUGCGUCACUCCUACUGUACCCAGAAAAAUAUGGCUUUUCCUGUUCCUAAAGGAGUUCUUUUCCUGGGACAUCCUGGGACCCCCUGAAUUCCUGCUUCAGAUAUGCUUCAGGCCUGGGGAAAUGGAAGGGUUGGGGACCUAGGUGAAAGGUUAUUUGCCAGAAAUUUCUUAGCUUUUUUGUUUAUUCUCUCUUACCUAGCCCUCCGCUGGAGGGCAAAGGGCAUCCCAGAUAGCUGAUAUAUUCUAAAACUAAUGAAUAGUCUACUGUCUCCUGCUGAGGAUAUAGAGUGGAGGUAAUUUCUUGAGUUUGAGACAAAAAACCCUGCACCUCUUAGAAACAUCUAAAGAAGGUACUAGGUUGCACUAAAGUUCAUCAGUUGUGAGAUAACUAUGGUUUAGAGGGGCACAAGGGAAGACACCACUGAAAGGCCAAGAUACAUAAGAAUGAAUGAAAAUGAGGUCUUGGGCCAGGAUGAUAUUUGUGGGUAAGGAAAAAAUAAAUAAUAUGAGGAUAAUAUCUACUAGUGCCUAGAGGUUAGUCUGGUGAUUAAGUCCACAGAUUCUGCAGCUGAAGCCAGGGUUUGAAUCCUGACUCUACCACUUACUGGCUUUGCAAUCUUAAGUUACUUAACCUCUCUGUGCUGUCAAGUGCCCCAUCUAGCAAAUGGAGCUAAGAAUAGUACCUUCUUUUUAGGGAUAUUAUGGCUAUUAAAUAUUAACAUAGAGUAGUUUAGUGUUUGUUUAUUUAUUUAUUUAUUUUAGAGACAAGGUCUCUGUUGCCCAGGCUGGAAGGCAGUGGUACAAUCAUAGUUCACUGCAGCCUCAAACUCCCAGGCUCAAGUGAUCCUCCCACCUCAGCCUCCUGAGUACCUGGGACUACAAGUGUGCACCACCAUGCCUGGCUGAUUUUUGUAUUUUUGUAGCAAUAGGAUCUGGCAGUAUUGCCCAGGCUGAUCUCAAAGUCCUGGCCUCAAAGCGAGCCUCCCAGCUCGGCCUCCCUAAAUACUGGGAUUACAGGCAUGAACCACCACACCUGGCAAUGUAAAGCAGUUAGAACAAUAACUGACACAUAGUUAAAUGUUCUAUGUGGUGUUGAUAUUGUAGUUGCUAUUAUUACUAUUUAAAAUAACCUAAAGGUAACACUGAACCAAAUUUCCUAAAAAU
rnacentral:lncRNA from 10 species